GAUGAAGAACGUAGCGAAAUGCGAUAGGUAAUGUGAAAUGCAGAAUUCAGUGAAUCAUCGAAUCUUUGAACGCACCUUGCGCCUUUUGGUAUUCCGAAAGGCACACCUGUUUGAGCGUCAUGAAUACCUCAAUCUCCAUCUUUUCUUCGGAUUGAUGGGUGACUUGGAUGUUGAGCCCUGCUGGUAUGCUAUAUCAGCUGGCUUUAAACUUAUUAGCCGGCUCUGUACUGGAUCGGUUUGACUCGACGUGAUAAUAUUAUCGUUGAGGAUGCAUGUCUCAUGCAGCCGGAAAGUAUCAAAGCAGCUUCUAGCUUGCCUUUAGUGCACUUUUACAUUUUAGACCUCAGAUCAGGUGGGACUACCCGCUGAACUUAAGCAUAUCAAUAAGCGGAGGA
rnacentral:misc_RNA from 1 species